AUUGAACGCUGGCGGCAGGCCUAACACAUGCAAGUCGAGCGAGCGGCGGACGGGUGAGUAAUGUAUGGGGACUGCCCGAUAGAGGGGGAUAACUUGUGGAAACGGUGGCUAAUACCGCAUACUAUCGGAACUCCCAUAUGGGAUUAGCUAGUAGGUGGGGUAAAGGCACACCUAGGCGACGAUCUCUAGCUGGUCGGAGAGGAUGAUCAGCCACAUUGGGACGGAGACACGGCCCAGGCUCCUACGGAGGCAGCAGUGGGGAAUAUUGCACAAUGGGCGCAAGCCUGAUGCAGCCAUGCCGCGUGUAUGAAGAAGGCCUUAGGGUUGUAAAGUACGUUCAGCGGGGAGGCGUUACCUGCAGAAGAAGCACCGGCUAACUCCGUGCCAGCAGCCGCGGUAAUAC
rnacentral:rRNA from 1 species